UGACUCCAGCGUAGGCACGUGCACGUUUUUGACAGGAAUGGCGGGAGUUUCAGAUACACAGCUGAGUCGGAGUCUUCAUCAUCGAGAUACUCCUCGGCGUUACUGUGGGUGCGCAGAAUGACUGGAGACGGGACAGAAGGACGGUUAAAUGGGUGACUACAGGAAGUGACAUGUGAUUGAGGUACUGUAACUGAAAGGAGACGCCUUAUGACUCACCUCCUCCCAGCUUCCUCUUCAGCAGAGAGGCGCACUGUGCGUUGGUGGCCAUAUCCAGAGCCGUCUUCUUCUCAUUGUUUACCACAUCUGUCCUUGCAUCUGUAAACACACAGACAUGAUAUGAAAUAUUAAAGAUAAAAAAUAAAAUAAAAUCAC
rnacentral:lncRNA from 1 species